rnacentral:rRNA from 1 species
UACGUAGGGUGCGAGCGUUAAUCGGAAUUACUGGGCGUAAAGCGUGCGCAGGCGGUUUUGUAAGCCAGAUGUGAAAUCCCCGGGCUCAACCUGGGAACUGCAUCCGGGACUGCAUUGCUAGAGUAUGGGAGAGGGAAGCGGAAUUUCUGGUGUAGCAGUGAAAUGCGUAGAUAUCAGAAGGAACAUCAGUGGCGAAGGCGGCUUCCUGGACCAAUACUGACGAUCAGGUGCGAAAGCGUGGGGAGCAAACAGG